GCAGUCGUGGCCGAGUGGUUAGGCGAUGGACUCGAAAUCCAUUGGGGUUUCCCCGCGUAGGUUCGAAUUCUACCGGCUGCG
rnacentral:tRNA from 13 species